AUUUGGUGAGGAGAGAAAGAAAGAAAAAAAAGAGAGAGAAGGAAGAGAGAAGGGAGGGGGAAGGAGAUUUCCGGCCAUGGGCCGGUCACCGGCCGAUCGCCGGCGCCGGCGCUGGCCACCCUACACGGUGGCCGGAAAAGGUAAAUUUUCCUUUUUUUUAUGUUUUAAAAUAUUAUUUUUAUUUUUAUUUAUGUAUUUAGAUAGGAAAGAAAAAAAAAGAUUCAAAAAUGAACAAAAAAUAGUAGAUUCACCUUAGAGUUUUAUCUGAUUCGAUAAUAUUGCACUGUUUUGGUAUUUUGGAAUUAUUCUUGUAUUUUAACCUACUAGUAUUGAUGCAAAAAAAAAUCCUCUUUGUAUUGAUAGCCAAUUUUUUUUUCUUUUUUUACAUGAUUUUUGAAUGGAUUUUUAUAGCCAUCUUUUACAUGAUUUUCUAUUAUUUCUUUUUCUAUUUCUUUUGUAGGUGAUGGUGGCAGAUAAUGGAUAUAAAAAAUGGGAGGAAAAUAGGGCAAGUGAGAAAGUGGCUAGGUGGCUAGGGUUUCUUCCUUUCUCUUUUUGCUGGAAAAUAUUUAGUACUAGUGGGCUAGGUUUAGGAUUUGUGAGUUAGGUAUGUAAUGGACCAUUAAGUUUGGGCUGUUUAACAAUUGGGUUAUUUGUAAAUGGACUGGGCCAAAAUUGACCUAUAACACACUUAUUUUUUAAAAACUUUUAUUCUCUAAAAUCCAUAGUAGCAUAGCCAUAAUUUGUUGCUGGCUUAAUACAAAUUGGAAUCAAAGGCUUAAAGAAACCUUCAGAAAUAUGUGGACAAAUGUGAUGGUUUUUUC
rnacentral:lncRNA from 1 species